rnacentral:rRNA from 1 species
UACGUAGGGCGCAAGCGUUGUCCGGAAUUAUUGGGCGUAAAGAGCUCGUAGGCGGCUUGUCACGUCGGGUGUGAAAGCCCGGGGCUUAACCCCGGGUCUGCAUUCGAUACGGGCUAGCUAGAGUGUGGUAGGGGAGAUCGGAAUUCCUGGUGUAGCGGUGAAAUGCGCAGAUAUCAGGAGGAACACCGGUGGCGAAGGCGGCUCACUGGCCCGAUACUGACGCUGAGGCGCGAAAGCGUGGGGAGCAAACAGG